rnacentral:tRNA from 1 species
AGAGGAUGAUUCGAGCCACGAAUCUGUAGCCCGCCUCUCAAGCGGGUUUCGGGUGAUACCCGAUCAUGGGUUCAAAUCCCAUAUCCUCCG